CGAUGAAGCACCAGCUUGCUGGUGUGGAUUAGUGGCGAACGGGUGAGUAACACGUGAGCAACCUGCCCCGGACUUUGGGAUAAGCGCUGGAAACGGCGUCUAAUACCGAAUAUGCACCAUGAAGGCAUCUUCAAUGGUGGGAAAGAUUUAUCGGUCCGGGAGGGGCUCGCGGCCUAUCAGCUUGUUGGUGAGGUAAUGGCUCACCAAGGCGUCGACGGGUAGCCGGCCUGAGAGGGUGACCGGCCACACUGGGACUGAGACACGGCCCAGACUCCUACGGGAGGCAGCAGUGGGGAAUAUUGCACAAUGGGCGCAAGCCUGAUGCAGCAACGCCGCGUGGGGGAUGACGGCCUUCGGGUUGUAAACCCCUUUUAGUAGGGAAGAAGCCUUCGGGUGACGGUACCUGCAGAAAAAGCGCCGGCUAACUACGUGCCAGCAGCCGCGGUAAUACGUAGGGCGCAAGCGUUAUCCGGAAUUAUUGGGCGUAAAGAGCUCGUAGGCGGCUUGUCGCGUCUGCUGUGAAAACUGGAGGCUCAACUUCCAGCGUGCAGUGGGUACGGGCAGGCUAGAGUGCGGUAGGGGAGAUUGGAAUUCCUGGUGUAGCGGUGGAAUGCGCAGAUAUCAGGAGGAACACCGAU
rnacentral:rRNA from 1 species